CCUCCUCUCUCCCUCCCUCCCGCGCGCCUCCUCUCCUCCCACCCACAUCGCCGCCGCCGCCACCCCCUCCUCGAACCGCGAUGAGCAGCAGCGGAGGGAGGACGAGGAGCACGACUGCGGCGGCAGCGGGGAGGAGCAGCAGCAGGGCAAGGCGGCGCAACAGCAGCCCCGACUAACUGCCGCCCCGGAAUUUCAUGUCCGCCGCGCGUGCUGAGUGCCGACGCCCCCCCGCCGAACCCUUCCCGAAACCAAGCACCCGCCGCGCCGGAAAAGCGGCUCCCCUACCCUCAUCCGGCGGCGGAGGUGCAGUGCGCCGUCUGAGGCUCUCCGGCCGCCGGCUGCGGGGGCGCGGACAUGGCGGGGGCUGCGCGGGGCCGGCGGUGCCGGGGCGCGAUGCUGCUGCUACUCGUCGCGUUCGUGCUCGCGCCCCUCGUGCUAUACGGCCACUUCCCCGUCUCGCCCCUCCCAGACUCCAUCGUGGCCAAAGGCGCGUUCGAUCGGGGGGCGGGUCCGGCUCCAAUCUGGUGUGGCCGCAUAUGGCCGCGUCCGAGGUUUCUCUCGCCAAAGGGGAGCCCGCUUUUCCUCCCCCCUUUCGUUUUGCUUGCCUAAUCUCGGGAAGGCAUGAGUUUCACUGGCUGUAGAUUAGAUCGUGAAAAUGGUAGAGAUAGAUUGAGUCUGUUUUCACCUCAGUACGAACAAGUAAACCAACGUCAUGCGCAUUUUUUGGUGAAGCAGUCGGCAGUUGAGUCAUCCUUCGGCCACCGCAUCUGAUUUUUUGUUGGAACUCUGUGUGAAUUGCUUUUGUAGAUUUGACGAUUGAGAGGCUAGGGGAGCACAAGAACCGGGUGCUCUCGGCGACUGACAACUGGCAAGCAGUUGAGGUAGCCAGGAGCCAUCCAUCAGAAAAGAAAAUUGAUACGUGGGAGGACCCUGGGUGGCGGGAUGCCCAUCAGGUGGUUGCUGUGGGAAAUGACAGUGCUCAGUCGACACAGGAUGACAUGAUAAAGGAAGUUGUUAGCACCGACAGACGAGCAGAUGGCUUUCGUGAUCCCGGCGAUAGCAAGGUAGCUGAAGAGCAGGAUGGACAAGGGAUGGAUGAAAAAGAGUUGCAGGAUGCAACUGAGCUAGAGCACAAAGAUGGAUCUGGUGCAUCAGAGAAUAACAUUGCUGGAGCUCAUACUACUGCAAACCUGACAUCGUCUUUGGAAAAGGAAAGCGCUGCUGAUACAUUAUCUGAUCAUGAUAGUAUCAAUGCUGAUCUCGCCACAUCAGCAAGUGGCACUGGUCAUUCCGCAACUUCCCCAGAUGCUACAAUCCGCAUUAUCAAGGACCAAUUGAUAAGAGCAAAGACAUAAUCGUGGCAUUCUAGCUUCUAGAGGAAAUCAUGGUACCGCCAAGGAGUUACGUGCACGAACGAAAGAUAUCCAGCGAGCACUGGGUGAUGCAACCGAUGAUGGGAUGCUUCCUCAGAAGUACUUUCUCUUUCACUAUACUACAGGAGCAUAUGGUGUCGUGUCUCUCAAGCACAGUGCCCGGCUCCGGUUCGUCACAGAAGCCCACGGAAAGCAGCAAAGUUGAGCAUGCGGUGUCGCGCUUGUGAUGCACAGUGCUUGGCUCCGGUACAUCACAGAGGCCGGCAGCAAGGAACACAGCUUCCUGCCCUUGCCUCUGUAAAUCAUCAAGGAGGAAAAAUGUGCAAGAUGCUUGAAGUUUCCCCUUGAAACGAAGGUCUUGGGCCUUUGUUUGUACAUAUAUUCCCUUGAUUUGUACUGACUCUCUAAUUAAUUAUUCAGAGAGCUAUGGCCAUACAAGGAAAUCAAAAGUUUCAGUUGCAUGUAGCAAGGAAGGUCAAUUUGACACGGCGGUGCUGCCAUUUGCCCCUCCCUUCUCCCUCGAAAAUGUGGUUGACGCUCCCCAGAUCUUCAGGUUGCAUGACAAGAUUUUUUCCUGUGGAACAUAUUGUGUAUCUUCCAUCGGUCAUGAGUAAAUUCAAAUCAAAAUCACAUAUGGAUGUGUCCGAGGACAAGUUUGUCUGAUAAAAGGCAAGGAUGAAAGAGCGAGUAUAACCAUCAACUGGUCACAAUUUGCCGAAGCAGCCAAUAUUAAAGGUCAUAUUUGUGUCUUCGUCUUUGAGGAGGCUCAAAAGCACCAACACUCUGUCCAUAACCUUUUCUAAGGAACACCCCCUUGGGUAUGCAGCAGCGAUUUCCUAUGUUGAAUAUUGUUCAUUACAACAAUGAAAUCAACCUGCAGACUCAGCUUGCAAAGGUGGAGAUGGAGAGAAAGUUGUUGAUGCUCAAGCCAUGCGAUUAUGUAUGGAGCAAGAUGAACCUACCCACUUUUGUAUGGUUUAUUCUUAGGUUGUGUAUUGUGGCAUUGACACGAUUUUUUUAUUGUUGCUAAUGUUGACCAUUCAUGAAUGUUCAAUUGUUUAGAGUUGAAUUUGAGGAUAUAGCAGCGAUACAAGAAAAAAGUUGUGAUGCAUCUGUUUUAUUUCUUAGUUUUCUUACAAAUAUCAACAGAUCUUCAAUGUUUUCUUUAGAGAAUA